UUGUACAUCUAAAUGAGUUAUUUUCUUGAAAUAAUUGUCUUAUAAAGUUAUUUACUUAAUCCAGUGGUGCUUCUUUAGCUCCAAACAUUUCUGGCAUCCUCUUUAGUCUGCUGAUAAACAAGUUUGCAAAGGAGAGUUGACACCCACCUCUCAGUGGAAAGAAUCUCCACCCUGAGUCUUGCAUUGCAAAGAACACGGGCUGGGGUUAGAUCAGCGAGCCCAGGUUAUCAGCUUCUGGCUUCUGAAAGAAACACCUGGCUGCUUGGAGGUAUCAGGUGAUCUAGGAGGGAAAAUAAAAAAUGGAAAGGAUUGGUUUCAGGAGACAAUGGGAGCAGAGGAUCAAAGGGUCUGGGAGGCACCAGCAGGCCCGAGAGCAGGUGACAUUCAGCGACACACACUCGGGGUCAUUUUCUACCAAGAUCCCUGAUUAGCAGAAGGGGUUGCAAAACAGUUGGUAAAUGGAGAGUGCUCUCUCUCUGUGCAACCUUUUGACCCAUAAGCCCUGCAAUUUCUGGUUCUGAAGGAUGUGGUGCCAGACCUUUUUGCAGGUGGACAAAUCCUUGACUAAGAUCUAAAAAUGAUGGGGCUACUAUUCGUCUUUCUGUUUAAUUGAAUCCCUCCCCCGACCUUUACAUUUCCAAGAAAGGCUGCUCUUCAAAGAUUUAUUUGAUCAAAUUUCAAGAAAGUCCAGUCAACUCUUAUUCCUGCUUAGGAUAACUAUUCAUGUUAGGCUGAGUCACCCCUUCCCUGUCUUCCAUUCAACGGCACAUGUGUUUAUUGAGCAACUACUCUGCAAAGGUACAGACAUGCAGCGUGCAAGACAUCUCCAUGAAGAAUGCAUCCUCCCACUCUCAAAGCUCUAAUCUUCUGAUAGUGGAGAUAAAACAGAAACUCUGCUAUGACUGUAAGACACAGCAGAUGUGCUAAAUAGAGAUGAGAGCUUCAAAGAGCUAUGGCGCUUUAAACUGGGCGAGGCUACAUGUGCACAGGGGCCACAAGGAGCAGGGGAGAUGCAAGGCAAGUGCCUUUGAAGAGAUCUGGUGCUGCUUUCUGCAGUGGAGUAACUCAGAGGGACACAGACCCCCUGAAGAGUCAGAAGAACCCAAAGAAAUUGGAAAGAAAGAGGCCCCAGCCAAGCCUUGAUGAUGAGAGUCUCCACUCUGACUGACAUGCAGCAGCAGCGAAUCAGCCGCCCGCAG
rnacentral:lncRNA from 1 species